ACGUUUUUCACCAAAACCUCCAAGAAUCUCCGCCAUGAUUUCUGAAACACCUCCACCAUGAAAGAAGAACAACGGCUACGAAAAACCUGAGACCUAAUAUCAUAUUUUAACCCAGGCUAUACAAGUUUCUGGCAUACAGAACAUGAGAAAUAAAAGUUUUUAUUUUAAUUUUUGGUUCAAGUUAUACAUCUUUGUAGUAAUGGAAGGCAAAGAAGUCUUCGUUCCCCGUUGUAGAGCACACUCGAAUUCAGCAGUUGAUAAAAACAUCACAGUACCAGAACUCCGUAGAAAUCCUAGAUAUGUUGAGCAAUCUCGAAUGCGAGAAAAGAUGGAUAUGAUAAAUGAAAGGAAAAGGCAAUGUCAACAGAUUUGGACCCCGUCCCAUCAAAGAGCUCAUGGGCUACAACAGCGCCGAAUUUUGAGAGAGCCAAACAAAGCUCAAUGACAAUACACGAAUGGGAAGCUUUCCUUAGAAAACGACCUAAUGAAUACUGAAUUCGGUCAUCACAAUAACUCAAGAAUAAAAAUGGGGAACAAGUUGGAACGAGUAAUGGUAAGCCAGAAUAUGUUUACUGUUGAAUAUUGUUUUAUUUACUGUCAACUUCUUCAAGCAGCUGGUGAUGGUGAUUAUGUACGCUGCGAAGACAAUUUACAUCUUUGAAUGAAAAGUGCAAUUCCUUUUUGGUACAAAUUACAGUUUUCUUCAGCUAAUGUUGGAAGUUUGAUUUACUAGAACUAGCCAAUUUGAUGAAAAGGGGAAAAUAAAUAUUCACUGUCGAUAUUGUUUUACUUACUGUGAACUUCUCUAAGCAGCUGGUGAUUGUGAUUAUGUACGCCGCGAAGCGGAUGGUGAAGAAUGAUGGUAGCGAGAUGAUGGACUGGUGGCGCUGUGUUGCUGCUGGCAUGGUGUUGUAGACUGCAUGGAAAGAAGGUGAUAUAUGCAGGUUAGGUGGUGAUGCAAGUAGUGACAUUAUGAGAUGGAACUGGUGGUCGCUGGUGAAAAGAGACUUGGCGGAGUGUUGGGAAUGGAAUGUGCUCUUGGUAAUAGCAUCCUUGGAAGGAAGGAAUUUGAGGCAAUGCCUGUGCCCUAGGUGUUAUAACUAAACGCAAAAUGGAGACAACUAUGCUGGAUGAUGGUCAAGUUGUUAAUAUCAUUGACACGCCAGGUUUUUCUGGGAAUUGUAAAUUUCGUAAAUGAAAUGGUCAAUUGUAUUAAUCUCGCGAAGGAUGGGAUUGAUGGACAAUGUGAUCAGAGUAUUGCAGGAAGUGCUCAUUUGGAUCUACUUCUUUUAUAUCAUCCAAGAACUGUCCGUUUAAUCAUGAUCCUUACACAAUGAUGCUAGCCUUUGGAAGCGCCAUUAGAGAGAAAAUCUGAAGGAUGUCAUGAAAAGAAACUCUUUGGGUCCUGAUGCUGAGAUUAAUGCCCAGACUUCUUAAAGUUAAAUGAUGUGGACUGUUAAAUGAUUAUCGAAUACAAAUAUCUUCUCUAACUUCUUUUGUAUAUGUUAAUAAUUGAUUUAGUACUAACCAAAAACCAACUUGAAAUGUGGUAUCGUAUAUGGUAGUCUUUAUGUAGUUUUUUUUUUCUUUUCUUUAUGUAGUUUUAUGUAUCAUUUCUACAGUUUUUAUCCCCGUUAGUCCUGACUUAGGAUCCGAAAAAUCUGUAACUCUUUCUU